CAUUGUGCUACACUCUAUGAACUACCCGUGUGCAAUACAUUCUGAAUGUUAUUAGGAAGCAAUUUAGAUUGAAAAUGUAUGUCGUGUGCUCUCUUUAAAUGACCCGCCCUUUGUGUCUAAUCCAGAGACAUCUGAACCUGAGGAGCAGCGAGUUCUCCACAGAGAGCUUCAGGGUCACCUGGGAACACUCAGCCAAAGACGUGGUCCUCUACAGACUCACCUGGACCCCAACCAGAGGAGGAGCACUAAUGAGACGCAGGUGAAUGGUAACAUGAACACCUACCUUCUGACUGGACUGAUUCCCAACACUGAAUACAAGGUGGGCGUGUCCGCCAUCUUCAGAGACAAGUUUGAAAGUGACGCCAUGACCAUCAAAGAGUCAACAGAAUGGGCUUCUUUCUAGUUAUUUUACCAC
rnacentral:lncRNA from 1 species